AAGUUUUGUAACUAUCGAGUAACUAGUUCGGAAUUUUUAAGACAUUUUUCCGCUGGUCAUUUUCGUGACACAGUUGCUAUUUUGCGAAUACUUUACAAUGAAGAUCUAUUAUUCUGCUGUCUAGAGUUACGAAAGUUUCAAUUAUUAUAUAAGGAAGAUGAGGAUUCUCGUUGCAAAGGACAAGGCAAUUUCUUCCAAAACGAAACACCGCGGACUUCCGCGACUGUACAUCUGUUGCUGUAGCGCACUGUAGAAAAGUAAAUCAUAAGAUGUUACAAAAGCCAAUCAUAAAGAAACAAGUGAAGUUUUUAGAAAUAGAACACUUUUUUGAAUUUCGGUCUAUAUUCAAUUCGGAGUAAAACACAAGUUACAUUCGGAAACGCAUGUCAUUAAGGUAUCGCAAAAACACGAACGAAUUGUUAAAUAUAUAUGAAAAACUGACCAUGAAAGGGGUCUGGCGAGUAUUAGCGACCUACGCCACUGGAUCAGCCGAGGUGGAUUGCUGUUAACCGUAUUGAAACAAAAUAAAAAAACGCUAAAUUUAAAAUAA